GUGGGAGGCCUCAGUAACUACCCUGAGGUUUGCGAUGAAGCCCGCCCCGUGGGGUCGGCGGUGACGGAGCGUUCCCUGGAGGGGGAACGCCAACCGUCUUUGCAGGGGGAAUCGGCCAGGCCCGGAAGGGAGCAACCUAACUCCUGACGCCGACGUUCACGGGUCACCGGGUGGAGGACGGCCUCAGGUGCUGGUUGCUGAGGUCCCCCAC
rnacentral:SRP_RNA from 1 species